UUUACUGUAUGCAUAGACUCACGUAACUUCUAUUUCAGAUGAAAGUGUUUGACCUUUUCAUUUUUAAGAGGUGCUGCUUUUAUGCUAUUUCACGUUCCUUUUGCUAAAGAAGUAAAGUAACGUAAAUAAAAAAAUUGCUUACCAUAAGUCUAUUGAAAAUUCUGCCAGGGAAAAAACACCACCGUGAAAGUUUCGUGCUUGGCAUUAAUCCCUGCACUACUGACCCCAUUUCUUAUUUCUAGGAAACCCUUCUUUUACCCAUAUUCAGAAAGAAAGCCACAACACCGAAAUCCUCAGCCUCCCUCCCCAAGAAGCACUGCAGAUGUACGCAGCGUCUGCGCUCUACCUGUCGCUACAUUUGCGAGCAGGCUUUGCAAAGCAGCCACUUCUGGUGGUCCUAACGCUCCCCGUGCACAGCAAGUGAUACAAGACAAGCGGAGCAGCGAGGGCACUGCGUUGCUUUUGCUCUCCCUGCGGCAAGCCACUGGAAUUUCAUGAGAACGUAACACCACUUCACAGGCACACGGCUUCUCGGAGAGGCACAAGAAGAUUAGGUGGCUGUACGCACCACGCGCUCCCCGGAAUCACUUGCAGUUAGCUGCCGAGCUACGUCUCCGUCCUUCGGGAAGAGCCCAGGCCCACACGUCUCCAAUCCCUACCCAACCCAGAGCUUCUGCCUUCGGGUGGGUUUCGUGCCCCUUCCCCCGCAGCCCCCAGCGGUGGCAACAGCAGAGCCGAGCUGCCCAAGGCGCGGAGCCCUGCAAGCUCAGACUUUCCACCGAGCGGGCCCGGCAGAUUCCGCAGCCGGCCCUCAGCCCCAAACGACCGACAUAAUUAUAACCCCGCCGAGCCCUGCUCCCUCUCUGCGACUCCUGCCAGACCCUCAGCCUGCUCCCUCAGCCCGCCGAAGCCGUGGCCCUCCCUCGUGGUAAGCCUUUUGGCCACGAGACCCAAUUCCUAAAGCGCUGUGCAAGCGCUGGCCAGCGAUGGUGUGACAGCACCAGGCCGGCCCCUCGCUACAAUCCUGAUGGUUAUGGAUGGGAAGCACAGCAUUAGGAUAUGAAGUGCCGUCCCUCCCUGCCACAACAGGAUACAUCGCAUUACCCCAGGCCAGCCCCCCAUCCCUCCAACAAUGACAGCAAACGGCAGGUUUAGGUUUUCAGGCACAGCUGCUGCUCAUCCCAGCCCGGGCACCAGAUGCCCAGGGAGCCUUUCCCAGCAGGGACCCUUAAGGAGGAGAGCUGCAGAAGGAAAGCCGCGGCCCCGAGGAGCAACACGCCUGAUCCUUGCCUCCCUGUUACAGGUCAUUGGUCACAUAAGCCGAAAUCCCUCCCAGCACGAUUCCUGCAUCCCAUAAAACUCCAUUCACGAGCAUAUGCUUUAGAUCCACACCAGCAGCUGGGCUACGAAAGGUAUCCUGCACACGCUGAGCAGGUCGUUUCUGGGUAGCUACCUCCAUCUAGGGGAAAGGCAGCGUACUGCCUGAAAGCCAGCAGUAGAAAACCAAGGCUGGUGCUAUUCAUACGGGAGGUCAUCAAACAAAACAGAUGGCAUUAAUAUCUCUCUGGCUCUGCUGGCCGUGCCAGUCCACCGCCGACCUCCUCACGGGCUGGGGAGAACAACCGCCUUUCAGUUCCAGCAGCUACAACAAUUUGCCUUUUAUCUCAGACAGGGGAAAAAAAAAGAAUAAAGAUUUCCUCUUUGAACAAGAAAUAAAAAACACGAAUUCAAUAGCUGACUGAAUCUCAUUGCCUAUUCUUAGAUCCCAGUGUUAACUCUUUUCCUUGUUUACGAGGCUUGCGGGCCAGGGCCAUCCUCAGCAAUAGCUCACUGUUGCAUCUACUUGUGUAAAACUUGGAUCAACAUCCGCCCGGAGAGAUGUGGCACCCGGCCAGCCCGGACACAGAGCCAGCAGGAGCAGGAGCAAAGGCGGCCCCAGUGUUCGGCUGGUUUUGGUAGAAGGCACAUGGAAAGGAACCUUGAGGGGGCAACAGCAAAUGCUAUGUGACUAUGUACGUGUCUUCUCUCUUUGGUGCAUAGGGACACAUUGCAACGCAGGUGUUUUAAUCACUCCAAAAAACUGCAAGGAGCAUUUUCACUAUUUGCACAAUUUUUUACAAUUCUAUGUAUAUUUGUCUGGGUGAUGACAGCAGAUCACUUCGUUUUGUAUGCAGACAGUAGCAGCAACUCAAAAUGCAAACCUCCUGAGGGGCCUCUGUCACUUAAAAAGCAAACU